rnacentral:rRNA from 1 species
GGCUCAGGAUGAACGCUAGCGAUAGGCCUAACACAUGCAAGUCGAGGGGCAGCAUAGAGUAGCAAUACUUGAUGGCGACCGGCGCACGGGUGAGUAACACGUAUGCAACCUACCUACAUCAGGGGAAUAACCCGGAGAAAUUCGGACUAAUACCGCAUAAUACAGGGAUGCCGCAUGGUAAUAUUUGUUAAAGAUUUAUCGGAUGUAGAUGGGCAUGCGUUCCAUUAGCUAGUUGGUAAGGUAACGGCUUACCAAGGCAACGAUGGAUAGGGGAACUGAGAGGUUUGUCCCCCACACUGGAACUGAGACACGGACCAGACUCCUACGGGAGGCAGCAGUGAGGAAUAUUGGUCAAUGGACGAGAGUCUGAACCAGCCAAAUCGCGUGAAGGAAAGACUGCCCUACGGGUUGUAAACUUCUUUUGUACAGGAAUAAAAGACAUUACGUGUAGUGUAUUGCAUGUACUGUACGAAUAAGCAUCGGCUGACUCCGUGCCAGCCGCGGC